GGAAAGUCUGUGGUUCAGUGGUGGAACAUCUGCCUUCCAUGUAGAAAGCAUCGGGUUCAAUCCCUGGCAUCUCCA